UCAGGGUUAGUUUAGCUGGUAAAACACUGGGUUUUGGCCCCGGCGUCGCUAGGUUCGAAGCCUGCACCCUGAU
rnacentral:tRNA from 1 species